rnacentral:rRNA from 1 species
AACGAACGCUGGCGGCAUGCCUAACACAUGCAAGUCGAACGAGACCUUCGGGUCUAGUGGCGCACGGGUGCGUAACGCGUGGGAACCUGCCCUUAGGUUCGGAAUAACUCCCCGAAAGGGGUGCUAAUACCGGAUCAUGUCUUCGGACCAAAGAUUUAUCGCCUUUGGGUGGGCCCGCGUUGGAUUAGCUAGUUGGUAGGGUAAAAGGCUACCAAGGCGACGAUCCAUAGCUGGUCUGAGAGGAUGAUCAGCCACACUGGGACUGAGACACGGUCCAGACUCCUACGGGAGGCAGCAGUGGGGAAUAUUGGACAAUGGGCGAAAGCCUGAUCCAGCAAUGCCGCGUGAGUGAUGAAGGCCGUAGGGUUGUAAAGCUCUUUUACCCGGGAUGAUAAUGACAGUACCGGGAGAAUAAGCUCCGGCUAACUCCGUG